UGUUCUUUCCAAGACUCAAACUACUAAAGUUAACCAGUAAAACUAGAGAGAAAAGUAAAAAUGGAACAGAGAACCAAAUGUCCUUCUCUUUCUUCUCUCUUUCUCUCAACUCCAUUUUUGGAUGGCAAAUAGAUUUAAGAAAGAAGGUGCUUUAAUAAUAUAAAGGGGAGUAUGGAUUAAAAGGCAAGAAAGAACAGUAGUUAGGGGAAAGGGAGCAAAUUGAAAAAUGUGUCUAUAAGAGGAAUUAACCAUAAAACUGAGUCAGGAUCUGAAGGAGAUCUUCACCUCUAGAGUGACAGGAGAAACCAUGCUGUGAAUGGAACUAUGCCCCAAGUGCCCCACCCCAAUUCAUGUGUUGAAGCUCUAAUCCAGCAGCUCAAAGCCUAACUAUACUUGGAGAUAGAACAUUCAAAGGUUUAACUAAGGGCCACAUGUGGAAGCACAUGCCUGUCAUCCCAGCAACUUGGGAGUCUAAGUCAGAGAAUCACAAAUUCAAAGCCACCUUAGGCAACUAACAAGACCCUGUUACAAAAUUUUUUAGAAGCGGGGAGGAGGGGAUAGGGAUUUUACUCAGUGGAAAAGCAUUCCUGAGUUUAACCCCCAGUACAAAAACAAAAAGUUAAUCAAGGCUAAGUGAGGCCAUAGAGGUGCGCCCUAAUUCAAGAUGACUGGUUUCCAUACAAGAAGCAGAGAUUAUAAUGCAGAUAUGCACAGAAGGAAGACCACAUAAAGAAAACUAAAGAAGACAGCCAUCUACAAGACGAGAAGAUUGGCCCUAAGAAGAAACCAACCCUGCUAACACCUUCAUCUUGAAAUUCCAGCCUCUGGAAAUCUUUCUUCCCUGAAUGACCACGACAUCCUCAAAAAUACAGUCUGUUCUGAAGUUUCACUCUGUCUUUCAUAUGUGAGUCUGCAUUACUCCAGUCCAGCCUUGCAGCUGCCCUUAUAGACAGAUGAACUUGGAAUCUACUUUGGAGAGAGAUGCAGCAUUUGAUAAAAGCCAGAAAGCAUGCUGGCAUACAUUUACAUUGGAUGAAAUACCAAUUCCAUUUAGCUACAGUAUGAAAUGCUUCUUUUAUUUGCAUGGGAGAUCAACCAUAUAAGGCAUAAUAACUUCUUUCAAAAGUUCAUUGCUAGUCCCAUACUAGCUUCUCCCAGCAGGGAUGGCUGGCAGCUCUUCAUGCAGUAAGUGGAAAGCCAUAGUCUGUCAAAGCAUCAAGCACUAAUGAAAUAAACAAAAACUUUCCUUACCUGAGGCAGGUGCCAAAGCCUGCUACUCUAAGUGCCCCCACUGGACACAAUUUAGAUUUGCUUUCAAAUGUUAAAAACAAAUAGGUUCUCCUAAGUGCAAUUAAAACUAAGCCACAUGUCGAAUCUAUUGAUACUGAUGGAGCUAUUUGGAUUCCAAGGUUCUUAAGAACUGUUCCUAAGAAUAUCACAUAAUUUGGUAAUUAUUGUUUUAUGCUAAUAUAUGACAAGGAAUUUCAAAAAAACAGUCAUGAGCUUCCUAGACUUUUUUAAUAAUCUUGAAUCAAUAGUAUUUCUCCAAAGAACAAAGUAGUUACCAUGCCAUUAUAGCGCAGUAUGAUUUAAUUUAAAUGAUUAAAUAUACUGUUUUAAUAAGAUGUAUUUCCACAUUAGAAAUACUUUACAUCCCCUUAUGUUCAUUAGCUCCCUCUCCCUACCCAGGAAUAAAGGCCUAAUUCCCAAUCAUGACAAUUAUUUUACUAUUUCUUUUGACUUUAGGGUUGUAUGGGAGAGGUUUUAUUCUGCUUAGUUAUUCAGGACAAUUUGAAAAGGUCCCCUACUCACAAAUACCUACAGUUCUUAUGAUAAAAAGUUUACAUUGUGGGAAAAUUUUUAUGGCAGGAUAAAAGAAGAUACUGAUAGUAAGUAUGCCAGGACAAUAGGCUUAACCCAAAAUUGUCUCCAUUAAACCAGAAAGUAUAGUCAUUCUACCUAUAGGCAUCCUAAAGAAAUAAACAUCAAAAUAGUAAAUUCAGAAAUGUUUUCACAAUAUUGCUCAUAAUAUCUGAAAAAGGCCAAUUAUGUAUUCCAGGCCCACAUUAGGACCCAUGAUUAGAAGAGAAGAUGAAAGUCCAUUAAUCUUGUCAAGAGGGAACCUAGUCUAUGGGAU